UGAAUACGGUGACCUAAGUUUUGGAUGU
rnacentral:sRNA from 1 species